GAUGAAGAACGUAGCGAAAUGCGAUAAGUAGUGUGAAUUGCAGAAUUCAGUGAAUCAUCGAAUCUUUGAACGCACAUUGCGCCCUUUGGUAUUCCAAAGGGCAUGCCUGUUCGAGCGUCAUUUGUACCCUCAAGCUUUGCUUGGUGUUGGGCGUCUUGUCUAGCUUUGCUGGAGACUCGCCUUAAAGUAAUUGGCAGCCGGCCUACUGGUUUCGGAGCGCAGCACAAGUCGCACUCUCUAUCAGCAAAGGUCUAGCAUCCAUUAAGCCUUUUUUUCAACUUUUGACCUCGGAUCAGGUAGGGAUACCCGCUGAACUUAAGCAUAUCAAUAAGCGGAGGA
rnacentral:misc_RNA from 1 species